ensembl:snRNA U6 U6 spliceosomal RNA
GUGCUCAUUUUGAUAACACAUAUACUAAAAUUGGAAUGAUACAGAGAAGAUUAACAUGGCCCCUGUACAAAAAUGACCACAAAUGCAUGAAGUAUUCUAUAGUUUU